GACGAACGCUGGCGGCGUGCUUAACACAUGCAAGUCGAGCGGUAAGGCUCCUUCGGGAGUACACGAGCGGCGAACGGGUGAGUAACACGUGAGCAAUCUGCCCAUCACUUCGGGAUAACUCCGGGAAACCGGUGCUAAUACCGAAUACGACCACUUCAGGCAUCUGACGGUGGUGGAAAGUUCCGGCGGUGAUGGAUGAGCUCGCGGCCUAUCCGCUUGUUGGUGGGGUAAUGGCCUACCAAGGCUUCGACGGGUAGCCGGCCUGAGAGGGUGACCGGCCACACUGGGACUGAGACGCGGCCCAGACUCCUACGGGAGGCAGCAGUGGGGAAUAUUGGACAAUGGGCGAAAGCCUGAUCCAGCAACGCCGCGUGAGGGAUGACGGCCUUCGGGUUGUAAACCUCUUUCAGCGCCGACGAAGCGAAAGUGACGGUAGGCGCAGAAGAAGCACCGGCCAACUACGUGCCAGCAGCCGCGGUAAUAC
rnacentral:rRNA from 1 species